rnacentral:rRNA from 1 species
GACGAACGCUGGCGGCGUGCCUAAUACAUGCAAGUCGAACGCAUUUUCUCUGAACGUCGCUUGCUACCCCGACACAAAGUGAGUGGCGAACGGGUGAGUAACACCUGGGUAACCUGCCCAUCCUCCGGGAAUCACACUCGGAUACCGGUGCUAAUACCGCACAAUUUCAUUUCCCGCAUGGUAUUUCGGUGAAUGGCGCUUUUCCCUCUCCGCUUCAUGUAGCUGCGGGGCUUUAGCUAGAUGGUGGGGUAACGGGCUACCAAGGCUGGGAUGCAUACCCGACCGGAGAGGGUGGUCGGCCGCCCUGGGACGGGGACACGGCCCAGAGUCCUACGGGAGGGAGCAGUAGGGAAACUUGGGCAAGGGACGCAAGUCUGACCGAGCAACGCCGAGUGAGUGAAGAAGGUUGUCGGAUUGGAAAACUCUGUUGUUAGAGAAGAAAAAGGAUGAGAGUGGAAAGUUCAUCCCUUGACGGUAUCUAACCAGAAAGCCACGGCUAACUACGUG